rnacentral:rRNA from 1 species
GACGAACGCUGGCGGCGUGCUUAACACAUGCAAGUCGAACGGAAAGGCCCUGCUUUUGUGGGGUGCUCGAGUGGCGAACGGGUGAGUAACACGUGAGUAACCUGCCCUUGACUUUGGGAUAACUUCAGGAAACUGGGGCUAAUACCGGAUAGGAGCUCCUGCUGCAUGGUGGGGGUUGGAAAGUUUCGGCGGUUGGGGAUGGACUCGCGGCUUAUCAGCUUGUUGGUGGGGUAGUGGCUUACCAAGGCUUUGACGGGUAGCCGGCCUGAGAGGGUGACCGGCCAAAUUGGGACGGGGAUACGGCCCAGACUCCUACGGGAGGCAGCAGUGGGGAAUAUUGCACAAUGGGCGGAAGCCUGAUGCAGCAACGCCGCGUGCGGGAUGACGGCCUUCGGGUUGUAAACCGCUUUCGCCUGUGACGAAGCGUGAGUGACGGUAAUGGGUAAAGAAGCACCGGCUAACUACGUG